rnacentral:rRNA from 1 species
ACGCUCGACACCUAAGGCAGCAGUGAGGAAUAUUGGUCAAUGGGCGCUAGCCUGAACCAGCCAAGUAGCGUGAAGGAUGAAGGCUCUAUGGGUCGUAAACUUCUUUUAUAUAAGAAUAAAGUGCAGUAUGUAUACUGUUUUGUAUGUAUUAUAUGAAUAAGGAUCGGCUAACUCCGUGCCAGCAGCCGCGGUAAUCUGAGCGGGCUGGCAAGGC